rnacentral:rRNA from 1 species
CAUGCAAGUCGAACGGCAGCAUGAUCUAGCUUGCUAGAUUGAUGGCGAGUGGCGAACGGGUGAGUAAUACAUCGGAACGUGCCCUGUAGUGGGGGAUAACUAGUCGAAAGAUUAGCUAAUACCGCAUACGACCUGAGGGUGAAAGUGGGGGACCGCAAGGCCUCAUGCUAUAGGAGCGGCCGAUGUCUGAUUAGCUAGUUGGUGGGGUAAAGGCCCACCAAGGCGACGAUCAGUAGCUGGUCUGAGAGGACGAUCAGCCACACUGGGACUGAGACACGGCCCAGACUCCUACGGGAGGCAGCAGUGGGGAAUUUUGGACAAUGGGCGAAAGCCUGAUCCAGCAAUGCCGCGUGUGUGAAGAAGGCCUUCGGGUUGUAAAGCACUUUUGUCCGGAAAGAAAUGGCUCUGGUUAAUACCUGGGGUCGAUGACGGUACCGGAAGAAUAAGGACCGGCUAACUACGUGCCAGCAGCCGCGGUAAUACGUAGGGUCCAAGCGUUAAUCGGAAUUACUGGGCGUAAAGCGUGCGCAGGCGGUUGUGCAAGACCGAUGUGAAAUCCCCGAGCUUAACUUGGGNAAUUGCAUUGGUGACUGCACGGCUAGAGUGUGUCAGANGGGGGUAGAAUUCCACGUGUAGCAGUGAAAUGCGUANAGAUGUGGAGGAAUACCGAUGGCCGAAGGCAGCCCCCCUGGGAUA